CUGGCAUGCAUAGCUCACUUGGUAGAGCAUGAGACUCUUAAUCUGAGGGACAUGGGUUUGAGCCCCACAUUGGCUGGA